rnacentral:rRNA from 1 species
AAAACAUGUYUUUUAGAAAAUAAUUUWAAGUYUAAUYUGCUCCAUGAUUUAAAUUAAAUAGCUGCAGUAUUUUGACUGUACAAAGGUAGCAUAAUCAAUAGUUUUUUAAUUAAAAGCUGGAAUGAAUGAUUUGAUAAGGUAAAUUUUGUCUCAAAUUUAAUAAUAUUAUAAUUUUUUUUUUAGUAAAAAUACUAAAUUGAAUUUAAAAGACGAGAAGACCCUAUAGAUUUUUAUAUUUAAAUUUUAAUAAAUUAAAAUUUAAUUAGUUAUUAAAAUUAAUAAAUAUUUGAUUGGGGAAAUUAUUAAAUUAAUUUAAUUUUAAUAAUUAAUAAACAAUAAUUAUUGACUAAUUGAUCUUUAAAUUAAGAUUAUAAGAUUAAAAUACCUUAGGGAUAACAGCGUAAUUUUUUUUGAAAGAACUUAUUGAUAAAAAAGUUUGCGACCUCGAUGUUGAAUUAAGAUUAAAUAUUAGUGUAGAAUUUAAAUAUUUUGGUCUGUUCGACCAUUAAAAUCUUA